rnacentral:rRNA from 1 species
CCUACGGGUGGCUGCAGUGGGGAAUAUUGCACAAUGGGGGAAACCCUGAUGCAGCGACGCCGCGUGAGUGAAGAAGUAUUUCGGUAUGUAAAGCUCUAUCAGCAGGGAAGAAAAUGACGGUACCUGAUUAAGAAGCCCCGGCUAACUACGUGCCAGCAGCCGUGGUAAUACGUAGGGGGCGAGCGUUAUCCGGAUUUACUGGGUGUAAAGGGAGCGUAGACGGCAGCACAAGGCUGCAGUGAAAUGCCGGGGCUUAACCCCGGAACUGCUUUGGAAACUGGGCAGCUAGAGUGCAGGCGAGGUAGGUGGAAUUCCUGGUGUAGCGGUGAAAUGCGUAGAUAUGAGGAAGAACCCCAGUGGCGAAGGCAGCUUGCUGGACUGUAACUGACGUUGAGGCUCGAAAGCGUGGGGAGCGAACAGGAUUAGAUACCCGAGUAGUC